rnacentral:rRNA from 1 species
UACGUAGGGUCCAAGCGUUAUCCGGAAUUACUGGGCGUAAAGAGUUGCGUAGGUGGUUUAUUAAGCAGAUAGUGAAAGCACCCCGCUCAACGGGGUAUACAUUAUCUGAACUGGCAGACUAGAGUAUGGGAGAGGUAGCUGGAAUUUCUAGUGUAGGAGUGAAAUCCGUAGAUAUUAGAAGGAACACCGAUGGCGUAGGCAGGCUACUGGCCCAUUACUGACACUAAGGCACGAAAGCGUGGGGAGCGAACUGG